GAAGUGUUGGGUUAAGUCCCGCAACGAGCGCAACCCCUGCUGUCUGUUGCCACCACGAGAGGUGGGGACUCAGGCGGAACUGCCGGUGACAAACCGGAGGAAGUGGGGACGACGUCAAGUCAUCAUGGCCCUUAUGUCCUGGGCUACACACGUGCUACAAUGGCCGGUACAGAGCGCAGCGAGGCCGCGAGGCGGAGCGAAUCGCUUAAAGCCCGGUCCCAGUACGGAUUGGAGUCUGCAACCCGACUCCAUGAAGUUGGAAUCGCUAGUAAUCGCGCAUCAGCAUGGCGCGGUGAAUUACGUUCCCGGGCCUU
rnacentral:rRNA from 1 species